UACUGAGUCAACUGUUCGAUUUGUGAUUUGUAACUUCUGCUUAAUUUCCUAUAGCUUUAAAUUAUAUUCAUUAAGUGUCAGUUUUGGCGUAGGCCUGUAGCCUGCACAUUUUAAAGCAGAUGACUUGUGGCUGUUUUAAAUACAAUGCUUAAGUAGGGACUAAUCUCUGCCUCAACAGUGUUUAUUGUAAUCAUGAUCGCUACCUCUGCCAUAAUUAUUGUAUUUAUGGUUUGGGCCUCAUUUCCAACAUCAGAAUCUUCAAGUCCUCUUCGCAUACCGCUUGGGAGAAAAUUGUUGAUACCCUGCAUAAGUAAUGAAAGUCAUCCAGAAUCUUUUAGCUGGUUUUACAGUACAAACAAUGUUGGUCGGCGCCGCACCCAGAUUUUUCAUGAGGAUAAAAGUGGCCUACAUCUCCUUUCCAAAUUUUUUUGGCAUAGAAAGAGUGUUUUAAGGAAUCGUUCACUUGUAAUCAGCCCUUUUACAGAGGAGGAUCAAGGAAUAUACUUAUGUGGAUUGUAUAAAAAUGACAAGAUCACAUAUGGAUUGUCCACUUCAGUUGUUCUUGAAAAAGGAUCUCACAUGCCAAUAAUAACCACUGUGUCAAGCAGUGGUUUUAUGCAUGAAGUAACUAAGAAUGUGAUUACCAGCACAUAUUACGCACUUGACUCCGCUCUGAACAACACCACCAACAAAAGCAUCGACAAUGGGCCUACUCCUCCAGAUAACCGAGAACCUCAAUGGCUGGCAUCAACAGUAGCUGGAGUCUCUGCAGCUGUGUGCCUUUUCCUUGUUGCACUGGCACUGUCUAAAUUAUGCCAUUUCAAAUGGAGAAUACUCGCAGCUUCUGCCAAUCAACUUCUCUGUGGUGGCCAGGGGACCAGCUUUGAGGAAGAAACUACACUUGUUUAUUCAUCCUUGGUUAUCAGGAGAGUCCAACAGAGAGAUGACAUCAGAAAUGACAAUGAGUGUGUGUACAGUCAUAUCAGGGUCUAG
ensembl:lncRNA